GUUGUUCAGACAGUUAAAGGUGCCGGACCGUAAAAAGGAUUCGUGGAGGGAAUGAAAGAAGCUUGGAAUAAUCAGAAAAUCACCGCUGAACUUAACGAUCGCCAUCGUCUUAUUGAUUCAAAUUUCAGACGUGCGGGUACUGGUCCAAUUCAGAAAACUUAUUCCUACAAUCCAACAGCAGCACCGAAAGAACAGGAACUAGUCCAGAAAGGUUUCAAACAAACGAAAAAAUCCGUGUAGUUUGAAUUCGCAACCCGGUAGCGAAUGAAUGACCAUCAAAUAAAAAAAUUUUGUUUUGUUGAUGCCCUGAUCAAAUGGACAACUUCAACUGUAGGUGGCUAAAAUUAAAUUUGUCCCCCAGCCGCCAGGUGGCGC